CCUGAUUCCAACACAACUUUAAUGCAUUUGAUGAGGUUUUUUGCUACAUUCAUAUGUUGCCAUUUUUUUGCAUGCUCAAAUCUUUAUCGUUUUUGCAUGAAAUAAAUAAAUGUUUUGCAGAAUGCUGCCCAAUAAGCCUUCCUCAUUUGGCUACACCCUGUGAUACCAGAAAGACUUUCUUAUCUCAUGCCUACAAAUGAUCUGAACAACAAACAACCUGCAUUAGAAGUAGAGGGCACCCAGAAAGACACUUAGUAAUGAUAUCACUACCUGUUUAUUGGUUUUCUUACUGUCUGCAGCCAGUUUGCGAUUAAAAGCAGCUCACUCAGUCCCGUUGGAGCUGAGACCAGAG